AGAAAAUUGAGAUGCCUAGCCUUGCCUCAGUGACAAAAUGGGCAGCCGGGAUCCUCACAGUUCACAGAUGCUAUCCCAUCAUGUAUCGGGCUUGAGACAACAAGAAAAUCAAGAAGGGGCUUAGAACUGCUCUCCAAACAAGUGCCCUAGCACGUGCGCACCCACGUGGGGCUACCCAGGAGCUUGCAGACACCCGGCAGCAGGUUUGCUUGCGAUUG